UACCAUCAUCAAUUUAUAAUCAAAGUAUAAACAAAAUUUCUAAUGAAAAUAAAAUAUAUAUAGUUACAGCUUAUCAACCCAAGUUUUUAGUGUGGCCGAAUUAUCAAUUAAUUUGGAUAAAUAUUUGAAAUUAUCCUUUUAGUUAGGCAAAGCCUGAAGAUAUUUUUAGUUUUUAUUCAAUUACACACACGAUUAAUGCAGUAAAUAUUUAUAUAAUUUAGACUAGAGUAAACUAGAAAUAAUUGUGGAUAAAAAAUACUUGAUAUUAUGAACAUGAUUACUCUGUAAACAAUUCCGGCAUGAACAUAUAAAUUCAGCGCUCUGUAAAUAACAAAUCGAUUCCAAUUCAACUCAACAGACAUUGCCAAAAUGCCAAUGUUUAAUAUGCAUAUAAGAAUAAAUGGUCAUCGUAGCUCCACAAUUGCCCUCCGACCAUUCAAAUGAACUUGACAAAAGAGCAGCAGCAACAGCAGCCGCAUCAGCUGGGACUGAAGCCAUCCACACUCCGCAUGGCAUUCGACCUGGGCCCCAACAUAUGGAAAAUCAAAAGCGGCAAAAAGCGAAAGCAAAUUGCUUGGAGGGUCGCUGCCAAACCACCUGUGUGCAGCAGCAGCACCACCAACGCGCCCACCACCAACUUUGCGGGCCACACGAAGAGCAAUCAACCCCCCGCAAUGGCAAAAGCAAAGCACAUUUCAUACAAAAUUAAAUUAGAAUUUUCGGUAGUUGUUUGUCUAUUUGGCUCUCUGUCUCUUUGUCUGUCUCUCCUUCUAAAUUUGAAUAGAUGGUAAAGGAAAUUGCAGCACGCACGCACAUAAAAUGUUCCCAACAAAAAAAUUAAAAAGAUGAAUAUGCGAGUGGUCGACUAGUAGAUAGCUUGUAAAGAGGCUGAAGGCAACAACAUUUUAAA